UUACGACCAUAUCGCGUUGAAACACUAGUUCCCGGAUGAUUACUGAAGUUAAGCAACGUCGAGCCUAGUCAGUACCUAGAUGGAUGACCACUCGGGAAUAUCAGGUGCUGUAAG